GGGACUCCGGCUCCCCGCAUGCCUCGCUGUGUGUUCUAGAGCUGCCACGGGUGGGACUACGGCUCCCAGCAUGCCUCAUUCCCCUUUCUGGACCUUAGAUAGCUGUCAUCUCCCCACAGGCCCUGCAAUGUUCUAGAGCUGCUGGAGCAGGACGACGGCUCCCAGCAUGCCCUGCUGCCUGUCCUAGAGCUGCCAGGAGCUGGACGACACCUCCCAGCAUGCCCUGCUGUGCAUUCUAGAGCUACCAGAGGUGGACUACAUCACCCAGCAUGCCCUGCUGUGUGUUGUCGAGCUGCUGCAGCUAGACUAGGUCUCCCAGCAUGCCCUGUUGUGUGUUCUAGAGCCGCUAGAGCUAGGCUGGGGCUCCCAGCAUGCCCUGCUGCAUGUUCUCGAGCUCCUGGAGCUAGACCAGGUCUCCCAGCAUGCCCUGCUCUGCGUUCUAGACCUCCUGGAAAUAGACUACGUCUCCCAGCAUGCCCUGCUGUGUCUUCUAGAGCCGCCAGGAGCAGGAUGACACCUCCCAGCAUGCCCUGCUGUGUGUUCUUGAGCUGCUGGAGCCAGACCAGGUCUCCCAGCAUGCCCUGCUCUGCGUUCUAGACCUCCUAGAGGUGGACUACG
rnacentral:lncRNA from 1 species